AUUGAACGCUGGCGGAAUGCUUUACACAUGCAAGUCGAACGGUAGAGGGGGCACCCCCUCGAGAGCGGCGAACGGGUGAGUAAUAUAUCGGAACGUGCCCAGUCGUGGGGGAUAACGUAGCGAAAGUUACGCUAAUACCGCAUACGAUCUACGGAUGAAAGCGGGGGAUCGCAAGACCUCGCGCGAUUGGAGCGGCCGAUAUCAGAUUAGGUAGUUGGUGGGGUAAAGGCUCACCAAGCCAACGAUCUGUAGCUGGUCUGAGAGGACGACCAGCAACACUGGAACUGAGACACGGUCCAGACUCCUACGGGAGGCAGCAGUGGGGAAUUUUGGACAAUGGACGCAAGUCUGAUCCAGCCAUUCCGCGUGCAGGAUGAAGGCCCUCGGGUUGUAAACUGCUUUUGUACGGAACGAAAAGGUUUCCAUUAAUACUGGGAGCUCAUGACGGUACCGUAAGAAUAAGCACCGGCUAACUACGUGCCAGCCGCCGCCGUAA
rnacentral:rRNA from 1 species